rnacentral:misc_RNA from 1 species
GAUGAAGAACGUAGCGAAAUGCGAUAAGUAGUGUGAAUUGCAGAAUUCAGUGAAUCAUCGAAUCUUUGAACGCACCUUGCGCCCUUCGGCUAUUCCGAAGGGCAUGCCUGUUUGAGUAUCAUGAACACCUCAACUCUUCACGGCUUGCCGUGAUGAGUUUGGACUUUGGGGGUCUUGCUGGCCUACGAGCCAGCUCCUCUCAAAUGUAUUAGCUUGCCGGUGUUUGGUGGCAUCACAGGUGUGAUAACUAUCUACGCUUGUGGUUUUCCACUAGGUAACCUUCAGCAAUGGAGGUUCACCGGAGCUCACAAAUGUCUCUCCUUGCCAAGGACAGAUUUUGACCAUUUGAUCUCAAAUCAGGUAGGACUACCCGCUGAACUUAAGCAUAUCAAUAAGCGGAGGA